UCUUCUUCAAUUCACCCUUUUGGCGGUUUUCGGCUUGAGGCCUGAAAUUCAAUCUCCACCUUCUUCAAUUUGUUCUCUAUAUUGCUUCAAUUGGCAGAUCUUUCACGAUAUUGAUUCUUUGAUUCAACCACAUCCAUUCUCCAUUCUUCAUCUUCCUAUUUCAUUCUCAUACUCUUCGACCUGCACAUUUCGCAACCUUGAUGUCCUACAAUUCCUUGAUUCUUCCUAAAGCACGGUUCUGCAUAAAAUCUCGCCGCUCC
rnacentral:lncRNA from 1 species